UGUGGGUCCACCCCGGAGAAUACCCUCUCCAUAGCGGCUGCCAAAUAACGGUGGCACCACCAAGGCAUUCUCUGGACUGGAUGUGAAAAUGUUGGGAGGAGGGCCUGGCGAAAGCCCUCUCAGCACCCGCAGUCCAGCGCCGAUAAGGAAGACAGGCAAGGGGAGAUAAGCAGCCGAGGACGUCAAUAAAUGUUUGUCGCCUUGCAGAUGUGCAGAUGCUCAGAGAGGGACCUUGCUAGCCUGGUCUGGACGCAACUGCUCGACAAGACCAUUGGCAGGUUGCUGUUCCUUGUUGCUUUACUGCAUAUCUCUAGCCCCUGCCCUCUGGAGUUCUGACACUAUGGAAACAAGAUCUCUUCUCAGGCAAAUAAUGGGCUACAGCGUGCCUUUUGGCUUCCUAAUCCUUUUGGCCAUGGCCGCAAAUGGUGAUGACUCUGCAACCACACACCCUCCAGACAAAUCUUCUGCUCCCCUUGUUAGCUCCCCUUUGUCAGCUACCGAAUCGUCUCAAAAUGCAGCCACUUCCGAGACAAUUCAUCCGUCCGGAGAACAUGGAAAGAACAAAACCUCUGCUGCCUUGGAGCCUCCUUCCGAAGAAUUGGCUGCAGCUGCAAAACGGCCUCCGAAUGCAACCAUCAGCACCACUGAGAGUUCACCCGGCGAAAAGCCAAGAGCAAAACCAGGACAGGCUGAGGGGGAAGGAGAAAUGAGGGCACCGCCUAAGUCAGUUGAGCGGAAUUCAACCCAAACCCCUGGUAACAGGGGCUGUGGGGCUGGCUGCCGAACAUCAACCAUCGCAUCAGCUGCAUUUUGUGGAUCUGGUGAUCUGACAGUAAGCCUUGGAAUCAUCAUGGCCGUGGUCUUCUCUCUCCUGCUCUCCUUCUGACACUCAUCUGACCCCCUUGGUUGAUGUGGGGCUCCCAAACCAUGAAGUCGGCUCACUCAUGGAUGUGGUAGGAUUGCAGUAAUGCUGAAAAUACGCCUGGGACAUUUCCUCCACUUCCAAACACUUAAGCCCCAAAUAUAGUGUGUGUUUGUGUGAAAUAAAUUCUAUGUUUUUUGAACGAA